CGGACGGGUGAGUAACGCGUGAGCAACCUGCCUUUCAGAGGGGGAUAACGUUUGGAAACGAACGCUAAUACCGCAUGAGACUACAGUACUACAUGGUACAGUGGCCAAAGGAGCAAUCCGCUGAAAGAUGGGCUCGCGUCCGAUUAGAUAGUUGGCGGGGUAACGGCCCACCAAGUCGACGAUCGGUAGCCGGACUGAGAGGUUGAACGGCCACAUUGGGACUGAGACACGGCCCAGACUCCUACGGGAGGCAGCAG
rnacentral:rRNA from 1 species